rnacentral:rRNA from 1 species
UACGUAGGUGGCGAGCGUUGUCCGGAUUUACUGGGCGUAAAGGGAGCGUAGGCGGACUUUUAAGUGAGAUGUGAAAUACUCGGGCUCAACUUGAGUGCUGCAUUUCAAACUGGAAGUCUAGAGUGCAGGAGAGGAGAAUGGAAUUCCUAGUGUAGCGGUGAAAUGCGUAGAGAUUAGGAAGAACACCAGUGGCGAAGGCGAUUCUCUGGACUGUAACUGACGCUGAGGCUCGCAAGCGUGGGGAGCAAACAGG